rnacentral:rRNA from 1 species
CGAGGAAUAUUGCACAAUGGGCGCAAGCCUGAUGCAGCAACGCCGCGUGAGGGACGAAGGCCUUCGGGUCGUAAACCUCUUUUCUGGGGGACGAGUAAGGACGGUACCCCAGGAAUAAGUCUCGGCUAACUACGUGCCAGCAGCCGCGGUAAAACGUAGGAGGCGAGCGUUAUCCGGAUUUACUGGGCGUAAAGCGUACGCAGGUGGCUUCGUUAGUCGGACAUGAAAGCUCCUGGCUUAACUGGGAGAGGUUGUUCGAUACUGCGGGGCUUGAGGUUGGGAGAGGGACGUGGAAUUCCCGGUGUAGUGGUGGAAUGCGUAGAUAUCGGGAGGAACACCAGUGGCGCAAGCGGCGUCCUGGCCCACACCUGACGCUGAGGUACGAAAGCGUGGGUAGCAAACAG